CCUAAUAAGACAAAUGAUAAAAGCUAUCAUUUUUUUUCAUUCUUUCUUCUUCAACCGUGGGAAAGAACAGAAAAUAGCAGCCAUGGAUGAGCUCCAUUCGGCCAAGCUUUUAUGGCUUAUAUAGAUGAUGAAAAUUGAGACUUGGACCUAGAACGGAAAGAAAUCGAUUUAUGGACGAGUAUGUCCUUUUCACAUUUGUGGUGUCGAGGUAAGUUCGUAUGUAAACAAUACCAUGCUAUACAUGUAUUUAAAUGUUAUCAUUACAUGAAUUGUACAGACAUUAAUGUGUAUGUAAUUAAUAGAAAUAUGAUAAGACAAAGCCUUAAUAGACGAGGAAAAAUCCCGUUUGAACCUUAGGAAUAGAAUAGGAUACGAGUGACAUGUCACUAGGAAUUAUGAGUCUAGAUGACUAGCUCGAGAGUGAGCAUUGAAAUGUCAUGAGAUAUGAGGUAGCUUUAGCUACAAUUGAGGCACUUAUGUGCAAAGGCUUUUCCGAGUAUCUAAUUAGUAUUCCAAGUGUUCAACGGGCAAUCCAAGGAAAGAGUUAAUGAUGGUCUCAAUGAGGUAAGUCAUUGGUGAGUAUGCACUCGAGUUAUGUUACGAGUUGUGCAAGUAUGUAUACUAAUCCUAUGAGAAUGCCUUGAUAUGUGAUGAUCUAUGAUGCAUAAUAUGUGUUCUUACCAUGAUGGAUAAAAUGGUGUUGUAUUAAUAUUAUGAACAAUGAUCAUGAAUGAGUAAUUUAGCCUUGACAGAUUUGAGUUA